AGGACCCAGAGAGCGUUUCGUGGAAGCCGCCAAUAGGUGGCGGUAGGACCCAGAGAGCGUUUCGUGGUGCCGCCUAUAGGCGGCGGUAGUACUGAAACGAUUAAAGUGGAAACUCCCCCAUUUGCAAGAAGCGGUGUUUAGUCUUUGAAUAAUUGUAUCCGUGCGGGGACGAGAACUCUCGACCACUCUCGACUAUGUGCUAUUCGAACGAUAACCGUCGCGAACGAUGACUCGAAAACAGAAUUUCAUCGGCGACCGUGCAAAAACGACUUGGUAUUUACGCCCGACCUGAUUCGUUCGCGAUUUACCUACGAACGUGUAAUUUAUCGCGUCGCUUGUGUCCCAAGGGAAACGCAGAAGAGCGAGCACGGCGAGGAGCCGGGGAGGGGUAGCCGGAGAAGUCAUUUAUUAUUCCCGGGGAUUAAUUUCCACGCAAGAGUAAUUACAGAACAACGGUUAUUGAAGCGUAAUGGCUGCUGUAUAUUAACGUUCCUCGAGGCGAUGCUGGACCCACCUCGCGAAUCGCACUUUCUCGUUUCGCGUGUUCGGAUCCUAAACUCGGGAAAGAUCAGCGGUCGGAAAUUUUCGACGCAACAAACGGCACCGAUAUUGGUUCGUCGUCCCAGCACCGGCACCGGAAAGGAAACUCGAUUACCGCCAGACACGAUUACACGAAUAAAUGAUUCACGUCCAUCAAACGUCGCUCCCGCUCCAUUGGAUUACAGCUUUCAAUUAUUCGCUUCUACGAAAGGAUAUGUUCAUGAACGUCGGAUGCAGCUUUCCGCAAACUGUAGGCAUUCGGGAACGGUUUGUUCAGCAUAGGCUUUGACAGUCUUGGCUUUCACGGCGGUCUCCUUUGAGCUUUGGCAGUGUACACAAUACGCCGAAGUGGCUCAGCCUUCGUCGCUGGACACGAGUGACCAACAUCAGACGCGAUACCCAUGGGUUCAACAUAGCGAGUCUUGAGAUUUUAUUAAAGUGUUUUGCACGACAUCUUGCUUGGAGUAAAGUUCUUUAGACCACCUCCUAUUGAGUUGUCCGGAAAGUCCAUGUCGGUUUUUGGUAGGUGGUACAGAGGUCUGAAUAUAUCGAAGUGGUCCCUUACUCAUCCCUUAAAAGGUGGAAAGGUUGUGGAACAAAAUGGCACCUAUGUAAUUCAAUAAAUAUAUAUUAAAAUUCAAACGUGUUUUUGAAUGUUUCUUAGAAAUUGGCACAAACAUUCUUGGACUACCUCCUACAAUAUGUUUCUGUGAAACUUAUAGUUUCGAAGAUAAUUGAGAUGCUAAUAGUCAUUGUCUCACCCUGUAUAU